UUUGAUCUUCAUUGUUGGUAUUCGUGCUGCGAUUCUUACCUACUUAAUUCCUGCUGGUCCUUGAUGAAAACAAAAAACUGAUUUUGGUUACUGGUCACCGUCGCGAAAGUUUUGGGAGAAUUGAAAGGGGCUGCUCCUAGUACGAGAGGACCGGAGUGGACGAACCUCUGGUGUUCGGGUUGUGUCGCCAGACGCAUUGCCCGGUAGCUAAGUUCGGGAUCGAUAACCGCUGAAAGCAUCUAAGCGGGAAGCGAGCCUUGAGAUGAGUUCUCCCUGAUACUUUAAGUAUCCUAAAGGGUUGUCGUAGACUACGACGUUGAUAGGCAGGGUGUGUAAGCGUUGUGAGGCGUUGAGCUAACCUGUACUAAUUGCCCGUGAGGCUUAACCAU
rnacentral:rRNA from 1 species